CUGAGAGCCCUCCGUGGGAAAUAGAAGGCAUGUUCGAAGGAGACAUCGACAUCAUGAACGAAACGAGCCGGAAUGCGAUACGCAAUGACGACAUGAAGUGGGCAGGCGCCGUGGUGCCCUACGUUAUUGCCGGGUCCUAUGACGCGCGGGCGCGGCAAGUCAUGCAGUCUGCGUUUGACGAGUACAGACAGAAGACGUGCGUUAGGUUUGUGCCUCGCACCAACCAGAGAGCCUUCAUCAACAUAGAACCAUUCAGAGGGUGUUCGUCGGCGGUCGGCAAGCAGGGUAGAGUGCAGCGCGUGUCGCUGACGAGAGGCUGCGUGAGUAAGGGCAUCGUCGCACACGAGCUGAUGCAUGCGAUCGGGUUCUGGCACGAGCAGAGCCGCGCCGAUAGAGACAGCUUCGUGCGCAUCAACUUCGAGAACAUCCUCCCAAACCAGCGCUACAACUUCCAGAAAUACACGCUGCAGGCCAUCCAGCACCUGGGAGAACCCUACGAUUACUCGUCCGUCAUGCACUACGGCCCGCGCGCCUUCUCUACGGGCGCCGGUCCGUCCAUCACGCCGCUACGGUCCGGAGUGACCAUCGGUCAGCGCAACGGACUCAGCCGUAUCGACGUCAACAAGAUUAACAAGCUGUACAACUGCAACACGGGCGGCUCGACGCCAGCUCCGACGACAGCGCCCACUGCCGACUGCCAGAACGAGAACACGCAGUGCGAGAGCUGGGCCGGCAGAGGACAGUGUCAGGCAAACCCACGUUACAUGCUAGCCAACUGCCGACCCGCCUGCGGCGUCUGCGGCGACAGUACCUGUAAUGACGGAAACAGACUGUGCCCCUACUGGGCGUCGAUCGGAGAGUGCCAGAAAAACCCGGGAUACAUGCUGCCAACUGCCCAGUUCUCUGCGAAACCUGUCAGACUCGUGGAGGCGGGGACACAUGUGUGAAUGACAAUGUGUAUUGCGAGAGCUGGGCAGGACGAGGGGAGUGUCAGAAGAACCCUAGAUACAUGCGCGUCAACUGUAAGAAGGCGUGCGAACGCGAAUAGGUACACCGUCUGCGAUAAUAACGAAGUGGCGGACAGCUGCACCGAUGACAACCGCUACUGCAUGUACUGGGCAUCUAAGGGAAUGCGAGGCCAAAUCCAGACUACAUGCUGACAUCAUGCAAAAUCUCCUGCAAAACUGUGCAAAAUCUACUGCAAAUCUGCAAAAUAUUAGUUUAACUAACUAAAGAGACAAUCGUGUUAGUUCUCGGUAGUUACGCAGUAGUUGUGUUACGGAUUAAAAUUUUAUUAAAAUUCACAUCAAUGUUAUAUGUAUAA